rnacentral:rRNA from 1 species
AGCGAACGCUGGCGGCAGGCUUAACACAUGCAAGUCGAACGCCCCGCAAGGGGAGUGGCAGACGGGUGAGUAACACGUGGGAACGUACCCUUUGGUUCGGAAUAACUUGGGGAAACUCAAGCUCAUACCGGAUAAGCUCUUAUGGGGAAAGGGUUACUGCCGAAGGAUCGGCCCGCGUCUGCUGAGCUAGUUGGUGAGGUAAUGGCUCACCAAGGCGACGAUCAGUCGCUGGUCUGAGAGGAUGAUCAGCCACACUGGGACUGAGACACGGCCCAGACUCCUACGGGAGGCAGCAGUGGGGAAUAUGGGACAAUGGGGGCAACCCUGAUCCAGCCAUGCCGCGUGAGUGAUGAAGGCCUUAGGGUUGUAAAGCUCUUUUACCCGGGACGAUAAUGACUGUACCGGGAGAAUAAGCCCCGGCUAACUUCGUGCCAGCCGCCGCAGUAA